GUGGGGAAUCUUGCGCAAUGGGCGAAAGCCUGACGCAGCCAUGCCGCGUGAAUGAUGAAGGUCUUAGGAUUGUAAAAUUCUUUCACCGGGGACGAUAAUGACGGUACCCGGAGAAGAAGCUCCGGCUAACUUCGUGCCAGCAGCCGCGGUAAUACGAAGGGGGCUAGCGUUGCUCGGAAUUACUGGGCGUACAGGGCGCGUAGGCGGACAGCUUAGUCAGAGGUGAAAGCCCAGGGCUCAACCUUGGAAUUGCCUUUGAUACUGGCUGUCUUGAGUUUGGGAGAGGUGAGUGGAACUCCGAGUGUAGAGGUGAAAUUCGUAGAUAUUCGGAAGAACACCAGUGGCGAAGGCGACUCACUGGCCCAAUACUGACGCUGAGGCGCGAAAGCGUGGGGAGCAAACAGGAUUAGAUACCCCAGUAGUCC
rnacentral:rRNA from 1 species